UGAUAUAUUUGGGUAUACACCGUGUAGGUGGAAGUGGCGGCGGUGGAGGAGGAGGUAGCCAACACUGUUUAUUAGUUUUUAUUUUUUAUUGGGGUAGCCCCCAAAAUAUUGGGACAUGUAAAAAAAGAAAACAAAGAAUAAGUGCACUUGAAUAUAACCAUGGCUGGGUGAGGCCGGUAUAAAUGUCUAUUCUGCACAAGGUACAGACAAGUCUGGUGGGAUCCAUGACUGGUUCAUUUUAAUAAACAUGAGCUUGUCCACGUUGGCCAUGGACAGGCGGCUGCGUUUGUCUGUGAUAACCUCGUGCUGAUCGCACGUCCCCGUGACGUGACACCGACAACGCAUUCAGAUAUCUGCCCUAUCAACUUUCGAUGCAAUUUUCCGCGCCUACCAUGGUGACCACGGGUAACGGGGAAUCAGGGUUCCAUUCCAGAGAGGGAGCCUGAGAAACGGCUACCACAUGCAAGGAAGGCAGCAGGCGCGCAAAUUACCCACUCCCGACACGGGGAGAUAGUGAUGAAAAAAUAACAAUACACUACUCUUUCCAGGCCCUGUAAUUGUAAUGAGUCCACUUUAAAUCCUUUAACUUGGAUCAAUUGGAGGGCAAGUCUGGUGCAGAGCGACUGACCUGUGCGUUCUGCAGCUGAAACUCCACUAUCG
rnacentral:rRNA from 1 species